AACGAACGCUGGCGGCAGGCUUAACACAUGCAAGUCGAGCGCCCCGCAAGGGGAGUGGCAGACGGGUGAGUAACGCGUGGGAAUCUACCCAUCUCUACAGAAUAACGCAUGGAAACGUGUGCUAAUACCGUAUACGUCCUUCGGGAGAAAGAUUUAUCGGAGAUGGAUGAGCCCGCGUUGGAUUAGCUAGUUGGUGGGGUAAAGGCCUACCAAGGCGACGAUCCAUAGCUGGUCUGAGAGGAUGAUCAGCCACACUGGGACUGAGACACGGCCCAGACUCCUACGGGAGGCAGCAGUGGGGAAUAUUGGACAAUGGGCGCAAGCCUGAUCCAGCCAUGCCGCGUGAGUGAUGAAGGCCCUAGGGUUGUAAAGCUCUUUCACCGGUGAAGAUAAUGACGGUAACCGGAGAAGAAGCCCCGGCUAACUUCGUGCCAGCCGCCGCGGUAAGAC
rnacentral:rRNA from 1 species